ACGGAGCUUGCCCUGGUGUUCUGGAGUGACCCCACAGGGCUGACUGAGCUCAUUAUACAAAGCUGUAUGCUGGGUCCUGUCCAGCUCCAUCCAGCCCCACCCCCUUGCCUGCUGAGCCCGUGUGCCUACGAUCCGCAGGACUGUCACUAGCUAGCGAUGUUUUCACUCUUAUUCUGAACCCUCUCCAAAUCGCCUCCCUGAGACACCUUUUCUCUCUCUUCUGAAGAGGCGAGGGGACUCCAGGGCCUCUGAGGUUGGAGGUGUCCUCCACCCCUUUAUUGAGGGGCAAAGCAUGGAUCCAGAUGGCUCAAGAAAAACCUGCAAUAAAACACGACUUCCUCUGGCUGAAGAACAAAGCUGCAGGCUCUCGAGUUCCUCAGCCCCAAGCACAGGACCACACAGGGGUCUCUAUAGCCUGAGGAAUCCACUGAGAACUGGAUAUCUGAGACUUAGCUUGUGGUGAGCAGUUACCGUCUAGAGAAGAACUCCUUCAGUGUUGUCGUCUUACAGACCUGUAGGGGCCCAUUCCUUCUGGCACUUUUGGAGCCGAUGCAACCAAGAAAUCAAUAUCGCCGUUAGACUCGUCCAUGGCAACCGUGAUGCUGCCGCAUCUCCUGCCCUGUAAUGGUGACAGAAACGGCAGAGCCAGGAGUGAGUGAGAUACUCAGAAGAGGGGAUGGGGACAUCAGGAGGGAGGGGGGACAUUAAAUCCCCAUGGAGCCUCACUCAGCAAAUGAAAAAGUGUCAGCUGUGCCCUGUGGCAUAAUCAGGUCUCCUUUCAGAGAGUGUAAUGGCUUGAUGUCAGGCAUGGCAGGGGCAUUUGCAACACGCAGGUAGCACGAGGCCCUUAAGGAAGAUUAAAUUGGCAGCCACAGGAACCGCAGCCCUGCUCUAUAGUCUUACUUUACAUACCAGGAGCUCUGGGGAGGGGAGGGGAGCAACUCCCUGCCUUCAGUGCGUCUGGACUUCUGUUGCCAUUGCCGCCACUAUUAUUGGUCUUAUUAUUAUAUCCUGCCACAAGGAAAGAAGGCGUCAUCUCUCAGGCCAGUGCCGGGUGCAUGGAAAGCCCUGCAGGGGUAGCUGAAUGCUGUUAGCCUUGUCUACGGAGCAGACUCAGCCAGCCAGCAGUGAUUUAUGUUGUCAGUACUUUCUGUACGUUAGGAGCUGCUCGAGGUGAAAUGCUAGGCGCUCUGCAGAAAACAGAAUGUAUCAAAGUUCAGGUGGCUCAUGUCGUGCAGGGACCAAGUAUAGAACGGAGCUCUUGGCUUGGAUUUCACCUCACCCUGGAGGCUAAGCCGCCUCCUGGAAUUUCUCCUCCCUUUCCUUGGUGUGUAGCGUUUGAUCUGUUCUUACUCAGGGAAGAUUUAGCUCCUUUAAAAGACUGGUCUGGAGACUUUUUCUUUUUGGUCACAACUUAGUAGUGUGUGUGUGUGUGUGUGUGUGUGUGUAAGUUACCACAGAUAUUAUGGGUUAGGGAUCCCCAAUCUCUUUAGAACGUGAAACCCUAACUGCUCUAAAAUUGGUAACUUUUUGUAUGCUGACAUGAUCUCAUGAGUGGAAGAUUCCUUGCCAUGAAACACUGAACAACUAUUAAGAUGUUACAUAAGGUUAUCUUCAGGCCAUGAAUACAAGGCACCUAUGAUUUAUAUAUGUGUAUAUAUGCACAUAUAUGCAUGUAUACACACACUAUAUAUAUGUAUAUAUUUGCUGCUCACACUUUCAUCCUCUCUCUUGAACUAUUUCAUUGGAUGAAAACACUCCUAAAUCUAAAACCAGUCUGAGAUCUGAGACACUUACAUUCCCAAAUAGCUUAGGUAAGGGACACUCGGCCUGGAGUAAGCAGAAGUUGAAGGGCCACCAAACAUCUUGCCAAGUACACAAAGCAGCCAGACAAGAAAUGACCUGUCCUGCAGUACCAAUAAUGCAGGCAUUGAGAAGCCCUGGUAGCAAGAGAUGUCUUCCAGAAUCCUUUGUGGCUAGGUGUGGUUCCCACCAUUAGAAUGCAAACAGGAGCCCUGUGGUAACAUCCUACAGGAGGCAGGAUAAAGAGCAAACGAAGCCCCAGGUUAGUGUGGGUCUGGCUGAAGCCGUAAGUCCCCAUGUGAAAGAGGACUGUCUCCCGGCAAAGGCGCAUAGCUUGGACUGUUAUGUGAAUAAAAAAUAAAACACUGUUAUAUUUUAUACAUGAAGGAUCCCUCAACUAUCACAGCUUAAUGAAUCUCAACUUCUGUCAUUACUACGUCUUGCCAGUAGUUCUUCAAUGCUAGCGUUUGCUGAGCACACACCAUGGGUCAGACAUUAGCUCUUUAAGGAGAGUGUGUUCGAUAGUUUUGUGUCAACUUUAUAUAAGCUAGAGUUACUGGGAAUCACAAUUAAGAAAAUGCAUCCAUAGAUCAGGUUGUA